rnacentral:lncRNA from 1 species
UCAAUAUAAUAUAAAAAAAAUUCAAAUAUAAACUUACUAUUAAAUUUCCUUAUUACAAUAUAUUUAUAAAAUAUUCCAAACAAAGCACAAGUCCUAAGCACUUCCCCCAUUAAAGAAGAGUACACCAAACUUUACUAACAUAAUAAUUACAAAUACCCAAAUAUUAUUAAACCCUAAUUUUACUUAACAAACAAUCAACAAUCAAAUUAGAAAGAACUUUAUCACUUACCCGAAAAUCUGAACACUCAUAAAACUUUCUAUCUUGGAUUAAAUUACUCCAAGAUGUGUCUUUUUGUGCUAACUUCUUAUAGUAACACAUAACUUCACCAUAGUAUACGUACUCCAUUCGUGACAAACAAUGUUUUAUCCACGUUUUUCCAUUGAUGGCAACCAAAAUUAUGAAACCUACAAAUUUCGAGCUAUAAGAUUAAAACAUUUUAAUCUGUUAAAAAAUAUACGUAAGUAUCAUGGAGAGAAUUUCAUUUAGGGUUUACAAUUGAAGAGGUUGGAUUUUUUUUUCGUUGAGGUUCUUACAUUUUAAAGAUUUUAUUUAUUUUUUAAUACCACGUUAGCUUUUAAAUAAAUAAAUAAAUAAACUUCUCAAGUCAUCUCCUUAUUUGGCACUCUAGGUGGAGUGCCACAUGGGAAAAGUUGAUUAUUAGUUGAAUCAUGAAAUUCGUGAAAUUUGGAGUUAUUAUGUGGGUGAGAUUGAAAAAAAAAUGUUUACAUUAACAAUUAAUUGUUAAAAUUAAAUGAUCAAAAGAAUUGAUUGAAUGUAAUUUUUUGAGUUAAAGGAUGCAAUUAAAUGAAAAAGAAAAAAUUUAAUUGUUUUUUCAAAAAAGUUAUGAGCUUUUUGUACCUUAAACUAAAAAUAUAUAAAAUGAUGCAAAUAAUUGUAUUUGUUUAACUUGUUUGCUUGACACAAAAAAGGUUGUCUAAAUUAUUUUUCUUUUUAGAUAUGAUUAGUUAUGUAGUUGAGACUACUUAAAAGAUAAUAAAUAAAUAAAUAAACUUAACUAAAAUUCUCUAAAAAAAAUAAUCUAGUUUUUUUUUAACAAAAGUAAUUUUAAAACUCCAUUUCGUAUGAGAAAUGUAUCGGGGUUGACACAAUGCAUAUAAAAAGCAAUACAAAUUAGGUGUUUGAUUCCAAAAUUUUGUGUGUAUUACUUGUAUGAAGCCCAUUGGGCAUUAUAUGAACGAGUAAAAUAGGCUUGCAAAAUAGUAAGGCAACGACGUGCAGAUAAUAAAUAUAUAAAAUGAUUCAGGCUGGUGGGUCAAGGCAAUUUGAUCCAAUAAUGGCUCAAACCUCUCUUACCAACAAAGGUGGGCCUGGAAAAAUGUGGUCUAAAAACUUGGGCUGCUGAGCAAGGUUUAUUUAUUUCUAUUUUUUUUAAAAAAGAAAAAACUCAAAAACAAACCACUUGUUUAUUUGCACAUUGACAAAUUAGUCUAUUAAUUAAAUAGCUUAUUAAGACUGCAAAUUCACUUUCAUUAAAUAGCUCAUUAACACUCCCUUUGGACCCUACUUUGCAUUGUUAAUAAGCUAUUUAAUUAGUAGAGUAAUUUGUCAAUGUGAAGUAAACAAGUGGUGUGCUUUGAGUUUUCUCCUUGUUUUAAUUGUUAAGACUUUAAUGUGUUUUCAGACAAAGCACUAACUGAUUCACAAGAAAAAGGUGUAUAGUGUUAGGCAGUAGGGCAGGGCAGGAGUAGGCGGCGAUGGAUCAAGAUGCUGUGCUGACUCUGCAAUUUGUUACUACUUUAUCUGGUUGAAAUGGCGAUUUUGUCCAAUUUGACACAGUUUUAAUUCAAAAUAAAACAUGAAGAUCUGAUAGGACGGUCCAUGGGAUAAAUCAGCCGAAUGCUGAAGUUACGUUACAUGAAUGUAUAACUUUUUAACUCAUCUGGACCACUUGAGCUUUUGCAGUUAAAAAAAGAAGAAGGUUGAAUUGAUUUAACUGGUCUCUUGGGUCAGUCGAUGGAAUUGGAUCUUUGGGCCUUUCAUUGAAUGCAUGCCAAUAUGACCAGCAAUUAGAACAAGUCUAAUUUUAAGUAACAUCCAUCACUUUAUAUGAGAGUCCGAUUCAAGUAAGCAUAAGGAUGGGUGUAACCCCAACAUUGUUCACUAUAAAAUGACAUCUGCAUUUAGGGGAGGGGAGAAGAGGCUUUACCUUUUUCUUCCAACUUUAAAUGGAUGUAAUUUCGGACAUUGAUGAGACUCCAUUCAGGGUAUUCGAUUAUCAAGCUAACUUCAAAUGAUUGGUGCCGAAAAUAAAGUAGUUGAUUCAAUACCAAACCUCAAAAGAGAAAAGGUUCGUCUACUUUGCUACCUGGAUGCGCCAAACAUUUAAAAUUCGGUCAUUCCAAAGCAUUUUAUUCACCAUAAGGGUGAAAUGGAAAGAAAAAUGAUCUCAACUGUUUUAAUAGAUUUAUAUGUAUUAAACUCUCAAUAUUCGUUUCGGAUUCAAUUAUCGAAAUACUUGAGAUAUAAGAAAACAGUGUUUCCUUUGUAUUUUAAUUUUUCAUCAUGUUUCCUAAGAUUCAAACAAUUGGUAAGAGUUUG